GAUUAACGCUGGCGGCAUGCCUAAUACAUGCAAGUCGAACGGAAGCAGCAAUGCUUUAGUGGCGAACGGGUGAGUAACACGUAGGGAACCUACCUAUACGACGAGGAUAACUACUGGAAACGGUAGCUAAAACUGGAUAGGAUCAAUUGAGGCAUCUUGAUUGAUUUAAAGAUCCUUCGGGAUUACGUAGAGAUGGCCCUGCGGCGCAUUAGCUAGUUGAUGAGGUAACGGCCCACCAAGGCGACGAUGCGUAGCUGAGCUGAGAGGCUAAACAGCCACACUGGGACUGAGACACGGCCCAGACUCCUACGGGAGGCAGCAGUAGGGAAUUUUCGGCAAUGGGGGAAACCCUGACCGAGCAAUGCCGCGUGAACGAUGAAGGUCUUCGGAUUGUAAAGUUCUGUGAUUGGGGAAGAAUGGUAUCUUAGGGAAUGAGGAGUACAUGACGGUACCCGAUUAGAAAGCCCCGGCUAACUAUGUGCCAGCAGCCGAC
rnacentral:rRNA from 1 species